rnacentral:rRNA from 1 species
AUUGAACGCUGGCGGCAGGCCUAACACAUGCAAGUCGAACGGUAACAGGAAGCAGCUUGCUGCUUUGCUGACGAGUGGCGGACGGGUGAGUAAUGUCUGGGAAACUGCCUGAUGGAGGGGGAUAACUACUGGAAACGGUAGCUAAUACCGCAUAACGUCGCAAGACCAAAGAGGGGGACCUUCGGGCCUCUUGCCAUCGGAUGUGCCCAGAUUGGAUUCGCUAGUAGGUGGGGUAACGGCUCACCUAGGCGACGAUCCCUAGCUGGUCCGAGAGGAUGACCAGCCACACUGGAACUGAGACACGGUCCAGACUCCUACGGGAGGACGCAGUGGGGAAUAUUGCACAAUGGGCGCAAGCCUAAUGCAGCCAUGCCGCGUGUAUGAAGAUGGACUUCGGCUUGUAAAGUACUCUAAGCGGGGAGGAAGGGAGUAAAGUUAAUACCUUUGCUCAUUGACGUUACCCGCAGAAGAAGCUCCGGCUAACUCCGUG